GUGGGUGUGUGUGACCGUGAGAACAAGACCAAGGGGGAAACCCUAUUUCUUCAAAAUCUUGCAAAUUAAAGGAGAAAAGGGCUAAAUUUUGAAUGCAUGAACUAAGAAUGAUGAUCAUCUAAGCAUACCCAACAUCAAUAUGAAUGUAUGUUGGAACGUGUCAAGGAGAGGUCAAGCAUAGGAGGAUAACGGGUCAAGAUAAGGCAAGGUGACAAAUACACUUAUUGGAGUACUCGAGGUAUGGGAUCGUUGGCUUCAUGAAGAAAUGGAGCUGGAUUUGGAUAAGAGUAUUUAAGAAAGCGCUUGGACAAUUCCACGACUACUUUAUAGAAUGCUCUACGAAAUUUUAUUAUAUAGUUUAAUGUUGAAUGGUAUGUUAAUGACUAAUGGUUUGGUUGUACGUGGUGUCCACAGGUAUCGCUUGGGUUUUCUCUACAUUUAUUGAAGUGAAGCGGACUUAGUUCGAGUUGAGAGCAAGGAUUGUACGGGGUAGAAUGGUCACAUAGUGUAACUCAUAUAGGUUUUGAAGUAUUAAUGUUAUAAAACGUUAUAAAUCCGUUUUAAUGAAUAUAUGGCAUU
rnacentral:lncRNA from 1 species